ACUUCCCCUCUCCUUCCCUCCCCUGACAGGGAAGAGAUUACUGCGUUCAGCACAGGGACAUCUACAAAGAAGGGAAGAAGAAACAGGGACAGACCAGUGAAGCAAUAGAAUAGUUACGUGGUUGUCAUUCUCCAGCUGGGAUUGAGAACAAGGGGAAGCUGGCCAUAGAGCCAGGUGACCAAAGAUGGAAGACAAAGGGUGGGCUGUGAUUCCCAGAGCUCCAAGCCUUGUUCUGUCUUGUCACACCAACUGUUACUGAUGAACAGCAUGUGAGAACUUUUGGCUGAUGAAUACAAGAUACGCUCAUUCAUUCUCUUCAUUGCUAUGAAAUGAGUUUUUCCACAACCUCCUGCAGAACCUCAACACAUCACUAGGUGGCAACAUCCCUACACCAUAUCGGUUUAGAAACCACGGUUAGGAGGAGCAGCAAAACACGCGGCAUCCCAGUAUGAUUCAGAAGUAAAUACAGGCAAGCUGCCGGAGUGAACGCUGAGUGAGGGA
rnacentral:lncRNA from 1 species